GACCUCGGAUCAGGUAGGAAUACCCGCUGAAU
rnacentral:rRNA from 1 species